UUAAGCGACUAAGCGUACACGGUGGAUGCCCUGGCAGUCAGAGGCGAUGAAGGACGUGCUAAUCUGCGAAAAGCGUCGGUAAGGUGAUAUGAACCGUUACAACCGGCGAUGUCCGAAUGGGGAAACCCAGUGCAAUUCGUCACACUAUCGUUAACUGAAUACAUAGGUUAACGAGGCGAACCGGGGGAACUGAAACAUCUAAGUACCCCGAGGAAAAGAAAUCAACCGAGAUUCCCCCAGUAGCGGCGAGCGAACGGGGAGCAGCCCAGAGUCUGAAUCAGCUUGUGUGUUAGUGGAACGGUCUGGAAAGUCCGACGGUACAGGGUGAUAGUCCCGUACACCAAAAUGCACAGGCUGUGAACUCGAAGAGUAGGGCGGGACACGUGGUAUCCUGUCUGAAUAUGGGGGGACCAUCCUCCAAGGCUAAAUACUCCUGACUGACCGAUAGUGAACCAGUACCGUGAGGGAAAGGCGAAAAGAACCCCGGCGAGGGGAGUGAAAAAGAACCUGAAACCGUGUACGUACAAGCAGUGGGAGCACCUUCGGGUGUGACUGCGUACCUUUUGUAUAAUGGGUCAGCGACUUAUAUUCUGUAGCAAGGUUAACCGUAUAGGGGAGCCGCAGGGAAACCGAGUCUUAACUGGGCGUUAAGUUGCAGGGUAUAGACCCGAAACCCGGUGAUCUAGCCAUGGGCAGGUUGAAGGUUGGGUAACACUAACUGGAGGACCGAACCGACUAAUGUUGAAAAAUUAGCGGAUGACUUGUGGCUGGGGGGGAAAGGCCAAUCAAACCGGGAGAUAGCUGGUUCUCCCCGAAAGCUAUUUAGGUAGCGCCUCGUGAACUCAUCUUCGGGGGUAGAGCACUGUUUCGGCUAGGGGGUCAUCCCGACUUACCAACCCGAUGCAAACUACGAAUACCGAAGAAUGUUAUCACGGGAGACACACGGCGGGUGCUAACGUCCGUCGUGAAGAGGGAAACAACCCAGACCGCCAGCUAAGGUCCCAAAGUCAUGGUUAAGUGGGAAACGAUGUGGGAAGGCACAGACAGCCAGGAUGUUGGCUUAGAAGCAGCCAUCAUUUAAAGAAAGCGUAAUAGCUCACUGGUCGAGUCGGCCUGCGCGGAAGAUGUAACGGGGCUAAACCAUGCACCGAAGCUGCGGCAGCGACACUAUGUGUUGUUGGGUAGGGGAGCGUUCUGUAAGCCUGCGAAGGUGUGCUGUGAGGCAUGCUGGAGGUAUCAGAAGUGCGAAUGCUGACAUAAGUAACGAUAAAGCGGGUGAAAAGCCCGCUCGCCGGAAGACCAAGGGUUCCUGUCCAACGUUAAUCGGGGCAGGGUGAGUCGACCCCUAAGGCGAGGCCGAAAGGCGUAGUCGAUGGGAAACAGGUUAAUAUUCCUGUACUUGGUGUUACUGCGAAGGGGGGACGGAGAAGGCUAUGUUAGCCGGGCGACGGUUGUCCCGGUUUAAGCAUGUAGGCUGGUUAUCCAGGCAAAUCCGGAUAACCAAGGCUGAGGUGUGAUGACGAGGCACUACGGUGCUGAAGUAACAAAUGCCCUGCUUCCAGGAAAAGCCUCUAAGCAUCAGGUAACAUCAAAUCGUACCCCAAACCGACACAGGUGGUCAGGUAGAGAAUACCAAGGCGCUUGAGAGAACUCGGGUGAAGGAACUAGGCAAAAUGGUGCCGUAACUUCGGGAGAAGGCACGCUGGUGUGUAGGUGAAGUCCCUGCGGAUGGAGCUGAGACCAGUCGAAGAUACCAGCUGGCUGCAACUGUUUAUUAAAAACACAGCACUGUGCAAACACGAAAGUGGACGUAUACGGUGUGACGCCUGCCCGGUGCCGGAAGGUUAAUUGAUGGGGUUAUCCGUAAGGAGAAGCUCUUGAUCGAAGCCCCGGUAAACGGCGGCCGUAACUAUAACGGUCCUAAGGUAGCGAAAUUCCUUGUCGGGUAAGUUCCGACCUGCACGAAUGGCGUAAUGAUGGCCAGGCUGUCUCCACCCGAGACUCAGUGAAAUUGAACUCGCUGUGAAGAUGCAGUGUACCCGCGGCAAGACGGAAAGACCCCGUGAACCUUUACUAUAGCUUGACACUGAACAUUGAGCCUUGAUGUGUAGGAUAGGUGGGAGGCUUUGAAGCGUGGACGCCAGUCUGCGUGGAGCCAACCUUGAAAUACCACCCUUUAAUGUUUGAUGUUCUAACGUUGGCCCCUNAAGUUUAAUUCUUUGAGCAUCAAACUUAAAUUGAAGAGUUUGAUCAUGGCUCAGAUUGAACGCUGGCGGCAGGCCUAACACAUGCAAGUCGAGCGGUAGCACAGAGAGCUUGCUCUCGGGUGACGAGCGGCGGACGGGUGAGUAAUGUCUGGGAAACUGCCUGAUGGAGGGGGAUAACUACUGGAAACGGUAGCUAAUACCGCAUAAUGUCGCAAGACCAAAGUGGGGGACCUUCGGGCCUCAUGCCAUCAGAUGUGCCCAGAUGGGAUUAGCUUGUAGGUGGGGUAACGGCUCACCUAGGCGACGAUCCCUAGCUGGUCUGAGAGGAUGACCAGCCACACUGGAACUGAGACACGGUCCAGACUCCUACGGGAGGCAGCAGUGGGGAAUAUUGCACAAUGGGCGCAAGCCUGAUGCAGCCAUGCCGCGUGUGUGAAGAAGGCCUUCGGGUUGUAAAGCACUUUCAGCGGGGAGGAAGGCGUUGAGGUUAAUAACCUUGUCGAUUGACGUUACCCGCAGAAGAAGCACCGGCUAACUCC
rnacentral:rRNA from 1 species